rnacentral:rRNA from 1 species
UACGUAGGUGGCGAGCGUUGUCCGGAUUUACUGGGCGUAAAGAGCGCGCAGGCGGCUGGUCAAGUCCGAUGUGAAAGCUCCCGGCUUAACUGGGAAAUUGCAUCGGAAACUGAUCGGCUGGAAGGUGGGAGAGGGUAGCGGAAUUCCCGGUGUAGUGGUGAAAUGCGUAGAUAUCGGGAGGAACACCAGUGGCGAAAGCGUUCUGCUGGGCUGCGACUGACACUGAGGGACGAAAGCUAGGGGAGCGAAUGGG